AGGAUUAACGCUGGCGGCGUGCCUAACACAUGCAAGUCGAACGAGGUAGCAAUACCUAGUGGCAGACGGGUGAGUAACGCGUGGUCAACCUACCGUUGAGUGGGGGAUAACUAGCCGAAAGGUUAGCUAAUACCGCAUACGUGUCCGAGGGGCAUCCCUUGGCCAUAAAAGGAGCAAUCCGCUCGAUGACGGGACCGCGUCCCAUUAGCUAGAUGGUGGGGUAACGGCCUACCAUGGCACCGAUGGGUAGCUGGUUUGAGAGAGCGACCAGCCACACUGGGACUGAGAAACGGCCCAGACUCCUACGGGAGGCAGCAGUGAGGAAUUUUCCGCAAUGGGCGCAAGCCUGACGGAGCGACGCCGCGUGUGGGAAGAAGGCCUUCGGGUCGUAACCACUGUCGAAGGGGACGAUAAUGACGGUACCCUUGGAGGAAGCCCCGGCUAACGUACGUGCCAGCAGCCGC
rnacentral:rRNA from 1 species